rnacentral:rRNA from 1 species
UACGUAGGGGGCAAGCGUUGUCCGGAAUCAUUGGGCGUAAAGCGCAGGUAGGAGGUUUGAUAAGUCUGUUGUGAAAGCUCCCGGCUUAACUGGGAGAGGUCAACGGAAACUAUCAGGCUAGAGUGCGGUAGAGGUAGCUGGAAUUCCCGGUGUAGCGGUGAAAUGCGUAGAUAUCGGGAGGAAUACCUAUGGCGAAAGCAGGCUACUGGACCGUCACUGACUCUGAUCUGCGAAAGCUAGGGGAGCAAACAGG